GGCGAACGGUUUGAGUAAUGCAUCGGAACGUGCCCAGUCGUGGGGGAUAACGCAGCGAAAGCUGUGCUAAUACCGCAUACGAUCUAUGGAUGAAAGCGGGGGACCUUCGGGCCUCGCGCGAUUGGAGCGGCCGAUGUUAGAUUAGGUAGUUGGUGGGGUAAAGGCUCACCAAGCCAACGAUCUAUAGCUGGUCUGAGAGGACGACCAGCCACACUGGAACUGAGACACGGUCCAGACUCCUACGGGAGGCAGCAGUGGGGAAUUUUGGACAAUGGGCGAAAGCCUGAUUCAGCAAUACCGCGUGCAGGAAGAAGGCCCUCGGGUUGUAAACUGCUUUUGUACGGAACGAAACGGCGCGCUCUAAUAAAGUGCGCUAAUGACGGUACCGUAAGAAUAAGCACCGGCUAACUACGUGCCAGCAGCCGCGGUAAUACGUAGGGUGCGAGCGUUAAUCGGAAUUACUGGGCGUAAAGCGUGC
rnacentral:rRNA from 1 species